rnacentral:rRNA from 1 species
CCUACGGGCGGCAGCAGUGGGGAAUAUUGCACAAUGGGCGCAAGCCUGAUGCAGCCAUGCCGCGUGUGUGAAGAAGGCCUUCGGGUUGUAAAGCACUUUCAGCGGGGAGGAAGGCGUUAAGGUUAAUAACCUUGUCGAUUGACGUUACCCGCAGAAGAAGCACCGGCUAACUCCGUGCCAGCAGCCGCGGUAAUACGGAGGGUGCAAGCGUUAAUCGGAAUUACUGGGCGUAAAGCGCACGCAGGCGGUCUGUCAAGUCGGAUGUGAAAUCCCCGGGCUCAACCUGGGAACUGCAUUCGAAACUGGCAGGCUAGAGUCUUGUAGAGGGGGGUAGAAUUCCAGGUGUAGCGGUGAAAUGCCUAGAGAUCUGGAGGAAUACCGGUGGCGAAGGCGGCCCCCUGGACAAAGACUGACGCUUAGGUGCGAAAGCGUGGGGAGCAAACAGGAUUAGAUACCCGAGUAGUC